GGAGGGGUACCCAAGCGGUCAAAGGGAGCAGACUGUAAAUCUGCCGCCAUGCGGCUUCGAAGGUUCGAAUCCUUCCCCCUCCACCC
rnacentral:tRNA from 1 species